rnacentral:rRNA from 1 species
UACGGAGGGGGCUAGCGUUGUUCGGAAUUACUGGGCGUAAAGUGCACGUAGGCGGCUUUGUAAGUUAGAGGUGAAAGCCCGGGGCUCAACUCCGGAACUGCCUUUAAGACUGCAUCGCUUGAAUCCAGGAGAGGUGAGUGGAAUUCCGAGUGUAGAGGUGAAAUUCGUAGAUAUUCGGAAGAACACCAGUGGCGAAGGCGGCUCACUGGACUGGUAUUGACGCUGAGGUGCGAAAGCGUGGGGAGCAAACAGG